rnacentral:rRNA from 1 species
CAGUCGCCACGGUAAUACAGAGGGUGCAAGCGUUAAUCGGAAUUACUGGGCGUAAAGCGUGCGCAGACGGUUACAUAAGUCGGGUGUGAAAGCCCCGGGCUCAACCUGGGAAUUGCAUUCGAGACUGUGUAGCUAGGGUACGGAAGAGGGAAGCGGAAUUUCAGGUGUAGCGGUGAAAUGCGUGGAUAUCUGAAGGAACACCAGUGGCGAAAGCGGCUUCCUGGUCCAGUACCGACGUUCAGGCACGAAAGCGUGGGGAGCAAACAGGAUUAGAUACCCCCGUAGUCCCUGUCUCUUAUAC